rnacentral:lncRNA from 1 species
GCUCCCUACUGGGGGAGGCCCGCCCGCGUUUGGGAAUUCCAGCGGGGUCCCCAGCUAGCCGGUCUCCCGGCACUGAGCUUACUGAGAUUUCUCACUAGGUCACUGUUUGUUAAGAAAACAGAGUAACAGAAAGGAGGCAAAGCCCUUAAUUUUCUUUUUGCAACAUUCUCAAGUUAGGGCAAAGGAGAGAUGGAAGUGUGCCCGACUCUGUAAGAUGUUCCCCUUCUAGGAGUUUUCUCUAGUGGAGGGCCUUUCUGCUGUUUGCCUGACUCGAGAUGCUUCCUUGAUUGCUAAGAGACUACAAUGGAAAUGUUGCACCUCUGGACAGGGUUUCUAUUUCUUCCUUAGUUCCAGCCUUGAUACUGCAUUGCCCUGCAGAAGAAGCUGGUGGCCUUUGCCAGACAGUGGCCCUGAUACAUGCAGGAGCUGAAGGAAGAGCCUGAGGAGCUGUGGGUUACAGCGAUGCCCCCCUGUGUGAGAAAUAAGUGUGAUUUAUACGUGGUCAUCAACUUCGCACAUCACAUACAAUUCGGAUUGAGAAAGCACAGCGAGAUGUAAUGCUCAGAGCCGUGAUGUAUGCCUAUCCAGCAAAGCUUCCCGGUCCAAGGAGACCUCAGGCACUGAGAAACAGUCUUUAAUCUUCUCACUCUUCUGACACUCUAUCCCCAAGUGCAUCCUUCCAGUGAGGCACAUUACAUGGACUUCAGAUGAGCUACAUGUCUGCUUUGAUCUCUGAGCCCCUCACCUGCCCUUCUUGUGAUCCUGAAGCUUCGUUGGACUGAAUCCAGUAAUUAUAGUGAGAUGCUGAAGGCUGAGGAGCUGAUCCAUGUUGGCAUCUGGCACAUUGUUUUAUUCUUUUAGUAUUCGUUUACAUCAGAGGAGUGAGAGCAUUUUAAAAAUUUCAUUUUCUUCCCAGAAUGGAUUGAUAGUGCAGGCAGUGGAAAUUGAGUGACUAUGCCUUUUCAGUUAAUGCCAUCUUAUGUCAUCUGGUUUUGAGUUCAAAAGCAUUUUUUCUACUUUCUGUUGUUAUACUGUAUGAUUUAUUGAAUUUAAGAUGUCAACAAUUAUAAGAUGCACCAUUACUUUAUGUACCAGUAAGAAAAAAAAAUAUGGCCAAUAAAAAUAUCGC